UGGUGGAGCGAUUUGUCUGGUUAAUUCCGAUAACGAACGAGACUCUAGCCUGCUAAAUAGGUGGCGGGUCCUUACCCGUCCGUCACUCUUCUUAGAGGGACAAGCGGCGUCCAGCCGCAUGACAGUGAGCAAUAACA
rnacentral:rRNA from 1 species